CAGUAGCCACGGUAAUACGUAGGGUGCGAGCGUUAAUCGGAAUUACUGGGCGUAAAGCGUGCGCAGGCGGUUGUGUAAGACAGGUGUGAAAUCCCCGGGCUUAACCUGGGAACUGCGCUUGUGACUGCACAGCUAGAGUAUGGCAGAGGGGGGUGGAAUUCCACGUGUAGCAGUGAAAUGCGUAGAGAUGUGGAGGAACACCGAUGGCGAAGGCAGCCCCCUGGGCCAAUACUGACGCUCAUGCACGAAAGCGUGGGGAGCGAACAGGAUUAGAUACCCCUGUAGUCCCUGUCUCUUAUAA
rnacentral:rRNA from 1 species